rnacentral:rRNA from 1 species
UUGAACGCUGGCGGCAGGCCUAACACAUGCAAGUCGAACGGUAACAGGAAGCAGCUUGCUGCUUUGCUGACGAGUGGCGGACGGGUGAGUAAUGUCUGGGAAACUGCCUGAUGGAGGGGGAUAACUACUGGAAACGGUAGCUAAUACCGCAUAACGUCGCAAGACCAAAGAGGGGGACCUUCGGGCCUCUUGCCAUCGGAUGUGCCCAGAUGGGAUUAGCUAGUAGGUGGGGUAACGGCUCACCUAGGCGACGAUCCCUAGCUGGUCUGAGAGGAUGACCAGCCACACUGGAACUGAGACACGGUCCAGACUCCUACGGGAGGCAGCAGUGGGGAAUAUUGCACGAUGGGCGCAAGCCUGAUGCAGCCAUGCCGCGUGUAUGAAGAAGGCCUUCGGGUUGUAAAGUACUUUCAGCGGGGAGGAAGGGAGUAAAGUUAAUACCUUUGCUCAUUGACGUUACCCGCAGAAGAAGCACCGGCUAACUCCGUG